GCCCUCAAAUGUGAUGAGAUCAUCACAUAUCUCUUUGCUGGUCUCGAACACAAGUAUGAUUCUCUUAUUACCAUUGUCUCUGUUAAAUAAAAUGUCACCUUAGAAGAGGUGUACUCUAUGCUGCUCACUUGUGAGG